rnacentral:rRNA from 1 species
CCUACGGGUGGCAGCAGUGGGGAAUAUUGGGCAAUGGGCGCAAGCCUGACCCAGCAACGCCGCGUGAAGGAAGAAGGCCCUCGGGUUGUAAACCUCUUUAGGCGGGGAGCAAUGCCGGGCACGCGUGCCCGGAGGGAGAGUACCCGCAGAAUAAGCAUCGGCUAACUCCGUGCCAGCAGCCGCGGUAAUACGGAGGAUGCGAGCGUUAUCCGGAUUUAUUGGGUUUAAAGGGUGCGUAGGCGGAUUUUUAAGUCAGCGGUAAAAUGUCCGGGCUCAACCCGGGCCGGCCGUUGAAACUGGGGAUCUUGAGUGGGCGAGAAGUAUGCGGAAUGCGUGGUGUAGCGGUGAAAUGCAUAGAUAUCACGCAGAACUCCGAUUGCGAAGGCAGCAUACCGGCGCCCGACUGACGCUGAGGCACGAAAGCGUGGGGAUCGAACAGGAUUAGAUACCCCAGUAGUC